GGCGGGUUAGCUCAGUUGGUUAGAGCGUCGUGCUAAUAACGCGAAUGUCGCGGGUUCGAUCUCCGUGCUGGCCA
rfam:Ciona savignyi cont_59063, whole genome shotgun sequence.